CAGGUGGUCAGCCAGAUUAUAGUGCAGCCUGGGCUGAGUAUUAUAGACAACAAGCAGCCUAUUAUGCCCAGACAAGUCCCCAGGGAAUGCCACAGCAUCCUCCAGCACCUCAGUGCAGGUUUGAUCCAGCCAGUAUAGAACUAGCUCUGUAGGGGUGAGGAGGACUGUGCUGUGUAUCAUCCUUGAUUGUGUUCCUUCAAGGAGCAUUGCACUUGCCUUCCCAGACCUUCCACCUUAGGUUCUGCUGCAAAAAGCACCAGUGCUGAAGAUGCUGCAAGCACCAAAUCAUAGCUCAUAAAAUCAGGUCCUGAGAUAGUUACCCAUAAAGAGGAAUCCUUUGAGUGUAUGCCAUUGGUGAGCCGAUGAGCAUGGACCAUAGAAGGGCUCAAUGUAGAAGAAACUACCCGUGUGUAAAAAGAAGAUUGGCUUAAAAUGGCUACUGUGAUGGGAACAGUGUCUUAGGGAGAUGCAGCUUGGACUUGAGGUAAAUUGAAUACUUUACAACUGUGGUUUAGAGUUUGCUUUAAUGACAUUGUAUGUAAAAGGUCACAUGAUUGCUGUAAUUUUGUAUUCAUUAUGGUUUCCUCAAUAAAUGUACAUUGAUGACUAUUA
rnacentral:lncRNA from 1 species